rnacentral:rRNA from 1 species
GAUGAACGCUGGCGGCGUGCCUAAUACAUGCAAGUCGAGCGAACGGACGAGAAGCUUGCUUCUCUGAUGUUAGCGGCGGACGGGUGAGUAACACGUGGAUAACCUACCUAUAAGACUGGGAUAACUUCGGGAAACCGGAGCUAAUACCGGAUAAUAUUUUGAACCGCAUGGUUCAAAAGUGAAAGACGGUCUUGCUGUCACUUAUAGAUGGAUCCGCGCUGCAUUAGCUAGUUGGUAAGGUAACGGCUACAAGGCAACGAUGCAUAGCCGACCUGAGAGGGUGAUCGGCCACACUGGAACUGAGACACGGUCCAGACUCCUACGGGAGGCAGCAGUAGGGAAUCUUCCGCAAUGGGCGAAAGCCUGACGGAGCAACGCCGCGUGAGUGAUGAAGGUCUUCGGAUCGUAAAACUCUGUUAUUAGGGAAGAACAUAUGUGUAAGUAACUGUGCACAUCUUGACGGUACCUAAUCAGAAAGCCACGGCUAACUACGUG